CAACCCUUAAGCCUAGCUUAGUGUUGGGAAUCUACUUCUUUAUAGUUGUAGUUCCUGAAAUACAACGGCGGAUUUGUAGUAUCCUCUGAGCGUAGUAACUUUUUUCUCGCUUUUGUUAGGUGCUAUAACUCCCAGCCGCUAAACCCCCAAUUUUUUGU
rnacentral:misc_RNA from 1 species